rnacentral:rRNA from 1 species
UGGGGAAUAUUGGACAAUGGGCGCAAGCCUGAUCCAGCCAUGCCGCGUGUGUGAAGAAGGCCUUUUGGUUGUAAAGCACUUUAAGCGAGGAGGAGGCUCCUAUAGUUAAUACCUAUAGUGAGUGGACGUUACUCGCAGAAUAAGCACCGGCUAACUCUGUGCCAGCAGCCGCGGUAAUACAGAGGGUGCGAGCGUUAAUCGGAUUUACUGGGCGUAAAGCGUGCGUAGGCGGCUUUUUAAGUCGGAUGUGAAAUCCCUGAGCUUAACUUAGGAAUUGCAUUCGAUACUGGGAAGCUAGAGUAUGGGAGAGGAUGGUAGAAUUCCAGGUGUAGCGGUGAAAUGCGUAGAGAUCUGGAGGAAUACCGAUGGCGAAGGCAGCCAUCUGGCCUAAUACUGACGCUGAGGUACGAAAGCAUGGGGAGCAAACA